CCAAAGGCCCUUUUCAGGGCCGCCCACAUAUUUCGAUGAAAGAGCU
rfam:TPA: Bos taurus chromosome 23, whole genome shotgun sequence.